UUUGGGGACCUGUGGUUGACCCCUAAGGGGGAAAUCGCUCUAGCGGAGCCGGAGGGAAGGAGAGCAGGAAAAAGAAGCGGUCGGGCGCUGGAAAGGAGCCGCCUGCAGACUCGCUGCGCAGGCGCGCCCAUACUGAUGGGAAAAGAUAUGGGUGCGUUGGAGCAGGGGCUUUCUGGUUCUGAGAGGUGAUUUUCCCGGAAAAGAAACGCGGGCGGGCAGUACGAUGGGCGUGGUUGGACCGGUUUGCCGGGAGCCUGGGAAAGCGACUGCCUCUUGCUGUGGACUCAGUCUGGCCUGAUACUUAGCUUCUCAGAGUGUGAACACAGUCGCUGUGACACACACACACAUAACCACGUAAAGUCUUCUAUCUGGAACCUACCCCUAUGGUGUGGCUUACCUCUGAUGGCCCAUCCCAGCCUCUUAUCCAUGGGGAUAAGAAUGAAGAUGAGGAGAAAGCAUAGGAAUGAAGAAGGAAGAGGUACCUGCAAAAAUGCUUGGAGAUGAAAAGAAGCAUUGCAGGGAGCAUAAUCAGUUGAGGCAGCACACAAUGACAGAGUUAAUUCACCAAUGGCAUUUGCUGCCAUAGCUCCAUUGAGGCACAGAGGACAUGAAACAAUGGCCUUUUUCACAAGUGCAGCUUUCACCACAACCUGCCUGUCCCUGCACAACAGGGCAUCCGAGCGCCAGCCCAGAGCGCGGCAAUUGUCAGUGAACAACAGCCCAGAAGAGGCAAGAGGAGGUUUGCAGUAAAUAAAGCAAGAACCCCCAGCAACUUGGAUCUCUGCUUAUUCAAUCACUGGGACGCGACUAGCCCUCUGAGCUUGAGUUUGAGCUUAACCUUUGGUCAAGUGCUCCAAUAAGCCCAGAGAAAGAAAAAUUUCACCCGUGACUCCAAAGAACUCCAAAGAAAGGACACUAGAAAAAUAGGGAAAGCAGGACAGGAGCUGACAUGGUGGGCCACCAGGAAUGCACCAUGGAAGAGGACAGCAGAGACAAUUGCACUCCCAAGUUCUGG